GGGUAAGUCCUAUGCGACCAGCUCCUACAAAACCCUCCAGGGUCGGAAGACAGCAAAGGUAUGUGGUUGUAGCGGUGCGACAUAGUCAGCUUACCCCUC
rnacentral:SRP_RNA from 1 species